rnacentral:pre_miRNA from 1 species
UGGUUUGAGAGGUUGAAGCUGCCAGCAUGAUCUGGUAAUGAACCUAUUACUCUUUAUACAUAUAUCAACAUUAAUCUUAUGGCACUAUUUAUAGAUAGACAAGAUUAAUAUUGUCAUAGAUACAUAUUGAUAAUAUAAACCAACGAAUCGCGGCAGGUUGUCAUAGUAGUUUAGGAUGAUCAAUUGAUUGUGAGUUUUUCUGGCUAUGAAAGUAGAAUAUAUUGGUGAUUUGUGGCGGUAUAAUUGUCAAGAAAAGGGAAUUGUACUAACAGGGAAGGCACUUAGGUAAACGGUAAACCUGUUCCUCAUACAUGGGGUAUACGUAUUUUCCAGGAAAAAGGGUAGAAAAAUAAUUAGAAUUAAACUAGCUUGAACUUAGACCUGUAUAAAUAUAUGGUUCCAUCAGGUCAUCUUGCAGCUUCAAUCACUCAUUCA